UCCCGCAGCCCUUCUUGGGCGUUUCCUCCCUAGACUUCGGGCCGCCCUCCAUCGGGGCGGCCUUUUUUUGUUUCGGGA
rnacentral:sRNA from 2 species